CCGGCACGGUGAGUAACGCGUAUCCAACCUGCCGUCUACUCUUGGCCAGCCUUCUGAAAGGAAGAUUAAUCCAGGAUGGCAUCAUGAGUUCACAUGUCCGCAUGAUUAAAGGUAUUUUCCGGUAGACGAUGGGGAUGCGUUCCAUUAGAUAGUAGGCGGGGUAACGGCCCACCUAGUCAACGAUGGAUAGGGGUUCUGAGAGGAAGGUCCCCCACAUUGGAACUGAGACACGGUCCAA
rnacentral:rRNA from 1 species